rnacentral:lncRNA from 1 species
CAUUGGGACACUCCAUAAAACCUAUAACGUUUAUCAAUCUACUUCUGCAGGUACAAGCAAAGGAGUUAGGAAAAACACAGAUAUGAACCUAAACAGGCUAUUUGAUAAACCAUUUAUUCCAAAUACACCAAAAGAUCCUAUGUUCAUACCCCCACAAAUUACCACAUACCGAGAUAGUUUAAACCAAGACAAAAAGACCUA